UACGUAGGGGGCAAGCGUUGUCCGGAAUCAUUGGGCGUAAAGCGCGUGUAGGCGGCUGGGUAAGUCCGCUCUGAAAGCCCGGGGCUCAACCCCGGGAGGCGGGUGGAUACUGCUCAGCUCGGAGUCCGGAAGAGGAGUGUGGAAUUCCUGGUGUAGCGGUGAAAUGCGGCAGAUAUCAGGAGGAACACCAAUGGCGAAGGCAGCACUCUGGGACGGUACUGACGCUGAGACGCGAAAGCGUGGGGAGCAAACAGG
rnacentral:rRNA from 1 species